rnacentral:rRNA from 1 species
UACGAAGGGGGCUAGCGUUGCUCGGAAUCACUGGGCGUAAAGGGUGCGUAGGCGGGUCUUUAAGUCCGGGGUGAAAUCCUGGAGCUCAACUCCAGAACUGCCUUUGAUACUGAAGGUCUUGAGUUCGGGAGAGGUGAGUGGAACUGCGAGUGUAGAGGUGAAAUUCGUAGAUAUUCGGAAGAACACCAGUGGCGAAGGCGACUCACUGGACAUGUAUUGACGCUGAGGUACGAAAGCGUGGGGAGCAAACAGG